AUUUCCACAAAACCAAACAAACUCUAGGUUAAGAGAGAGGGCAGGCGGCUAAGCUGAAACCCUAGCGCUGCCACCUCCUUUUCCCCUCUCUCCCAGCGUCACUUGGCUGCCAGGGUGGGGAAAAGACCCUCCCCAAGAUUUUACAGGCCUCGCGUGUUCUUCUCCAGGCCGCAUUUAUUGUGGUGAAACUUCUUUCCACCAAAUCCCAUCCAAACGACGCCUAAGGCACAGGUUGCCAUACCUUUUUCGAUUCUUUUUCUUUACUUUCCAUCAAAUUGACUAGUUAACAUUAAUGGCUUCGUCCUUGCGUAAUUUGAAACCCAUUGGUUUCUCCAAAGAACCAAGCAGAUCGAGGGUGAUUCGGCCUUAUUCGAGCUGUUCGUUUGUUAUAUGGCUGAAAUCUGUUCAUUUACUUCAAAAAUGAGUGAGAGCAUUGCAAAAUUUUAGCAAGUCCCACAUCGAAAAAUUGGGGCUUUUCUAUAAUUUUGGGGGUUCUAUAAAUAGAAUCCCAAGAUUUGCAUUGAGACAGACACAGACAUAGGCAUAGAACCCGAAUUUGAGUAUCUUACACUCGAAGUUAGGGCUUUUCGUUUUCAGUACAAAAAUUUGUUUCUUCACUUAACUUUUAAGUUGGGUAUUCAAGUUUUAAAUUUUUUUAUUUUUCUUUUAUGUGGCUGAGUUUGAUUUUGGAAGCACAAAGGAGCUCCAAGUUCAUUCUUGACUCGGUUGAGCAUAAAAAAGCCAGCCUAUUGGGCCAAAUGGCCAAUAGUAUAAUUCUUUACAAAAUCCUUUCUCCGUGAAGAUGGAAGCAAAUAUUGUACGCCUAGAAGGCCCAGCCAUGGAUGAAAAUGGCUAAUUAGGGGCUUGGUAUGCCCCUAGCCUAUCGUUCUCUUUAUUUAACUUGGUAUUUACGCUUCUUUUGUAUUGGUAAAAUUAAUUGUAGUUGUACUUGUAAAACUUGUAAAGAAAACUCGUAUAUUAUUGGAAUCUUUAUGUUUAUGAA